AUUAAAAAAAAAAAAAAAAACUCUUUUGACAAAUAAUAUUAUCUGAAUGGUCUGAGUCCUUUUUUAUUUUUUUAUUUUUGGAAAUGAACAAACCUAAUACGGAUUAUAUAUUACUCGAAUCAAAGUGUAUUGGUCAGAGCAUUAAAAUAAGGAAAAAAAAAAACUCUGAUGAAUAGUAUUAUUCUAAUGACCAUUAUCACCUAAAAUAAGAUUUUAGACCAUGGUUUCAAUUAUAGCUAAUACACUAAGCAUAGGCCAUCAUACCCUUCACAACCAAAAGUUUUGUGGCCACAGCCUUACCAAUGUUUUAUGCUUUCUAAAACACGUCCCAAUUUAUUCUUUUAAUCUUUCUUACUUUCAUUAUGAAGUAAUGAUGGAGAACAAGAACAUAAGAAUCAAGAGAUACAAAUUCUCAAAAUUCAAAGGGAGAAACAAAUUCUCAAAAACGCUUAUUAAUUCCUAAUAAUAAUAAUAAUCAAAUCUUAAAUAUGUGGAGAUCAUAAGCCCUAUUUAUUAUGGAGUUUAGCAAUUAGGAUUAGAAAUCCUGAAACAAUAAAAUACUAAACCAAUACUAUUUAAGAAUUCUACAUAAACUUAAACAAGGAAAAUAAUAAUAAACCUCAUAUAAUUCCAUAAAUAAGAAAUCAUAAGCCUAAUGAAAUUCUUAAACUUCAUAAUUCUA
rnacentral:misc_RNA from 1 species